rnacentral:rRNA from 1 species
ACAUCCCUACGGGGGGCAGCAGUGGGGGAUAUUGCACAAUGGGGGAAACCCUGAUGCAGCGACGCCGCGUGAGCGAUGAAGUAUUUCGGUAUGUAAAGCUCUAUCAGCAGGGAAGAAAAUGACGGUACCUGACUAAGAAGCCCCGGCUAACUACGUGCCAGCAGCCGCGGUAAUACGUAGGGGGCAAGCGUUAUCCAGAUUUACUGGGUGUAAAGGGAGCGUAGACGGCAGUGCAAGUCUGAAGUGAAAGGCAAGGGCGCAACCCUUGGACUGCUUUGGAAACUGUGCUGUUGGAGUGUCGGAGG